rnacentral:rRNA from 1 species
AGAGCGAACGCUGGCGGCAGGCCUAACACAUGCAAGUCGAGCGCCCCGCAAGGGGAGCGGCAGACGGGAGAGUAACACGUGGGAACGUACCCUUUGGUUCGGAACAACACAGGGAAACUUGUGCUAAUACCGGAUAAGCCCUUACGGGGAAAGAUUUAUCGCCAAAGGAUCGGCCCGCGUCUGAUUAGCUUGUUGGUGAGGUAACGGCUCACCAAGGCUACGAUCAGUAGCUGGUCUGAGAGGAUGAUCAGCCUCACUGGGACUGAGACACGGCCCAGACUCCUACGGGAGGCAGCAGUGGGGAAUAUUGGACAAUGGGCGCAAGCCUGAUCCAGCCAUGCCGCGUGGAUGAUGAAGGCCCUAGGGGUUGUAAAAGUCCUUUACGACGGGGAAGAGUAAUGAACGGUACCGUAGAAGAAAGCCCCGGCUAACUUCGCGCCAGCAGCCGC